CGGAGUCACAGGGAAGUUCAAGUGCUAGGCCGCAUUUAAUCUACCAGGGGAAGAAAGUGACAUAGAAUUGUGAUCAUGCAAAUGCACCUGCAUGAAAAAUUCAAGAACCAAAUGACAAGCCCCGGUGUGCUGUUGCUGACAGAGGAAGGAAGAGAGGCACAACACGACACUCCAUGGAGAAUUGUGAAAGCACAGUCUCCGCCUCAGACAAGAGCCUUCAUAAAGGAGGAAUUGAUCCAGACAAGACCCACCUCACGUGUGUGUGUGUGUGUGUGUGUGUGUGUGUGUGUGUGUGUGUGUGUGUGUGUGUGUGUGUGUGUGUGUGUGUGUGUGUGUGUGUGUGUG